rnacentral:siRNA from 1 species
GAGAAAGCUGAAGGAUGUGGUUAC